CUAUACAUGCAGUCGAGCGAACAGACGAGGAGCUUGCUCCUCUGACGUUAGCGGCGGACGGGUGAGUAACACGUGGAUAACCUACCUAUAAGACUGGGAUAACUUCGGGAAACCGGAGCUAAUACCGGAUAAUAUAUUGAACCGCAUGGUUCAAUAGUGAAAGACGGUUUUGCUGUCACUUAUAGAUGGAUCCGCGCCGCAUUAGCUAGUUGGUAAGGUAACGGCUUACCAAGGCAACGAUGCGUAGCCGACCUGAGAGGGUGAUCGGCCACACUGGAACUGAGACACGGUCCAGACUCCUACGGGAGGCAGCAGUAGGGAAUCUUCCGCAAUGGGCGAAAGCCUGACGGAGCAACGCCGCGUGAGUGAUGAAGGUCUUCGGAUCGUAAAACUCUGUUAUUAGGGAAGAACAAAUGUGUAAGUAACUAUGCACGUCUUGACGGUACCUAAUCAGAAAGCCACGGCUAACUACGUGCCAGCAGCGGCCGGUAAUAA
rnacentral:rRNA from 1 species